rnacentral:rRNA from 1 species
GAUCCUGGCUCAGGGUGAACGCUAGCUACAGGCUUAACACAUGCAAGUCGAGGGGCAGCAUGGUCUUGGCUUGCUAAGGCCGAUGGCGACCGGCGCACGGGUGAGUAACGCGUAUCCAACCUGCCUUACACUCUUGGACAGCCUUCUGAAAGGGAGAUUAAUACAAGAUGUUAUCAUGGGUAAGCAUUUUCGCAUGAUUAAAGGUUUACCGGUGUAAGAUGGGGAUGCGUUCCAUUAGA